rnacentral:rRNA from 1 species
UACGGAGGGGGCUAGCGUUGUUCGGAAUUACUGGGCGUAAAGCGCACGUAGGCGGCUUUGUAAGUUAGAGGUGAAAGCCCAGGGCUCAACCCUGGAAUUGCCUUUAAGACUGCAUCGCUUGAACAUCGGAGAGGUAAGUGGAAUUCCGAGUGUAGAGGUGAAAUUCGUAGAUAUUCGGAAGAACACCAGUGGCGAAGGCGACUUACUGGACACAUACUGACGCUGAGGUGCGAAAGCGUGGGGAGCAAACAGG